rnacentral:rRNA from 1 species
CACGCCGUAAACGAUGGGUACUAGGUGUUGCGGGAAUUGACCCCUGCAGUGCCGUAGCUAACGCAUUAAGUACCCCGCCUGGGAAGUACGGUCGCAAGAUUAAAACUCAAAGGAAUUGACGGGGGCCCGCACAAGCGGUGGAGCAUGUGGUUUAAUUCGAUGCAACGCGAAAAACCUUACCUGGGUUUGACAUCCCUUGACAGUCCUAGAGAUAGGAUUUCCUCUUCGGAGGCAAGGAGACAGGUGC